rnacentral:rRNA from 1 species
UGCAAGUCGGACGGGAUUGAGGUUAGUAGCUUGCUUUGAUUUGAUGAGAGUGGCGCACGGGUGCGUAACGCGUGAGCAACCUACCCAUAUCAGGGGGAUAGCCUCUCGAAAGAGAGAUUAACACCGCAUAACAUCAUUUACCGGCAUCGGAUUAUGAUCAAAUAUUUAUAGGAUAUGGAUGGGCUCGCGUGACAUUAGCUAGUUGGAGGGGUAACGGCCCACCAAGGCUACGAUGUCUAGGGGCUCUGAGAGGAGAAUCCCCCACACUGGUACUGAGACACGGACCAGACUCCUACGGGAGGCAGCAGUAAGGAAUAUUGGUCAAUGGAGGGAACUCUGAACCAGCCAUGCCGCGUGCAGGAUGACUGCCCUAUGGGUUGUAAACUGCUUUUGUCAGGGAAUAAACCUUUCCACGUGUGGGAAGCUGAAUGUACCUGAAGAAUAAGGAUCGGCUAACUCCGUGCCAGCAGCCGCGGUAAUACGGAGGAUCCAAGCGUUAUCCGGAUUUAUUGGGUUUAAAGGGUGCGUAGGCGGUCCUAUAAGUCAGUGGUGAAAGACGGCAGCUUAACUGUCGCAGUGCCUUUGAUACUGUAGGACUUGAAUCUAUUUGAAGUGGGCGGAAUAAGACAAGUAGCGGUGAAAUGCAUAGAUAUGUCUUAGAACUCCGAUUGCGAAGGCAGCUCACUAAGUUAGUAUUGACGCUGAUGCA